UUAGUCGCUGGGUAUAGACCCGAAACCGGGCGAUCUAUCCAUGGCCAGGGUGAAGAUUGAGUAACAUCAAUUGGAGGACCGAACCCACUAACUUUGAAAAGUUAGGGGAUGACCUGUGGUUAGGAGUGAAAGGCUAAUCAAACCGGGAGAUAGCUGGUUCUCCCCGAAAUCUAUUUAGGUAGAGCCUCGGACGAAUACUUACGGGGGUAGAGCACUGUUAAGGCUAGGGGGUCAUCCCGACUUACCAACCCUUUGCAAACUCCGAAUACCGUAAAGUAAUAUCCGGGAGACACACGGCGGGUGCUAACGUCCGUCGUGAAGAGGGAAACAACCCAGACCGCCAGCUAAGGCCCCAAA
rnacentral:rRNA from 1 species